UGUCGGAUCAUUGGGAUUAAUCCCAAAAGCUCGAGCUGUUAGAAAUACACAACCAAUUCACUUAAAGCGUACAGAUACAGCCCCUACGGGUCUCGAUUGUGAUUCGGCCCAACCAGCCUCACACCACUUCGAACAUGACAUUUAAGCCAACAAUCUUCCCUCCAGCAUCUGCACAUAUUUGUAGUAUGCGAUAAUCGAAUCCGUGACCUU
rnacentral:lncRNA from 1 species